AAUGUUGCAUGCCCGGCAUUUUGUGUUGGACGCUAGGAGAGGGAAGUAAAGACAGAUGUCAACUGACUGACUGACUCCCGGGCUGGAGUGAUCAGUUUCAUAUGACCUGGGGCUUGAUUGGUUUAUGUCAUUAAGGCAAUCACAUGUCCCUACGGUGGAUGGAUGGUCAGCCACGCAGGAGGGUGAUUUUUACUAAGGAGGAGAAGGAGGCCGUGCUGUCCGAGAUGCAUGCUGGCCAUUUCGGAGAGAAGCACAUGACAAGCAAAAUCAACCUACGCUUCUUCUGACGGGGAAUUGAAAUAACCUUUUAUAAAUCACAUUCUAUUAUAUCUGAAAUCAUUAUUAUUUCAAUGAAUGUCAUAUCAGAGAGCACACUGUUUCAAUUUGUCACUUUCUAGCCUGCCAGAAGUUUGAGAGGGCGAAGACUGUGGCGCCGGAGUUGAAGCCCAUCAAAGUUGUUUCACCAUGGGGUGGACCUCAUCAGACACUUCACCAAAUCCAGGAAUGGCAACAGCUGGUGUCUGACGGCGACCAAUCACUUUACCAAGUGGGUGGAGGCAGUACUCAUUAAGGAUGAGACUGGUGAGGCCACCUCAAGGCGAUGGAGAUCUUCAACACCCACGGUUCUCCUGAGGCCAUCUUGAGUGAACGAGGUGAUGAAUGCUGGAACAAGGUACGGAUGUUAUAGAGUCGCAAUUCAACGGCUCAGACACAAGAGGUAUGUGGCAGGGUCUACAGUCAAUCACGGAUUACAAAAAGAAAACCAGCCCCGGCGCGGACCAGGAUGUCUUGCUCCCAGGAUGUCUUGCUCCCAGGAUGUCUUGCUCCCAGGAUGUCUUGCUCCCAGGAUGUCUUGCUCCCAGAAUGUCUUGCUCCCAGGAUGUCUUGCUCCCAGGAUGUCUUGCUCCCAGGAUGUCUUGCGCAGCAGCGCCUCUUCAACCUCAGGAGGCUGAAGAAAUUCAGCUCGUCACCAAAAGCACUCACAAACUUUUACAGAUGCACAAUCGAGAGCAUCCUGUCGGGCUGUAUCACCGCCUGGUACGGCAACUGCUCCGCCCACAACCAUAAGGCUCUCCAGAGGGUAGUGAGGUUUGUACAACGCGUCACUGGGGGCAAACUACCUGCCCCCCAGGACACCUACACCACCCGAUGUCACAGGAAGGCCAUAAAGAUCAUCAAGGACAACAACCACCCGAGCCACUGCCUGUUCACCCCGCUAUCAUCCAGAAGGCGAGGUCAGUACAGGUGCCUCAAAGCAGGGACCGAGAGACUGAAAAACAGCUUCUAUCUCAAGGACAUCGGACUGUUAAACAGCCACCACUAACAUUGAGUGGCUGCUGCCAACAUACUGACUCAACUCCAGCCACUUUAACCACUUUAAUAAUGGAAAAUUGAUGUAAAAAAUGUAUCACUAGCCACUUUAAACAAUGCCACUUAAUAUAAUGUUUACAUACCCUACAUUACUCAUCUCAUAUGUAUAUACCGUACUCUAUACCAUCUACUGCAUCUUGCCAUCUUUAUGUAAUACAUGUAUCACUAACCACUUUAAACAGUGCCACUUUUAUGUUUACAUACCCUACAUUACUCAUCUCAUAUGUAUACACGGUACUCGAUACCAUCUACUGCAUCUUGCCUAUGCCGUUCUGUACCAUCACUCAUUCAUAUAUCUUUAUGUACAUAUUCUUUAUCCCUUUACACUUGUGUGUAUAAGGUAGUUGUUGUGGAAUUGUUAGGUUAGAUUUUCUCAUUGGUUAUUACUGCAUUGUCGGAACUAGAAGCACAAGCAUUUCUCUACACUCGCAUUAACA